AGCAGCAUGGCUCAGUGGAAAGAGCAUGGGCCUGGGAGUCAGAGGUCAUGGGUUCGAAUCCCGUCUCUGCCA
rnacentral:tRNA from 1 species